CACUCCCUGCGAUGUUCGCCAGCCGGAUACGUCCUCGAGCCGAUAAUCUUUUUUAGGUAGCCACUCGAGGUCAAUGUGUGCAUGUCCUUACUAUAAAGGAAAGCCUAAUUUGGCACAGCGGCUACCACCUUGAGCCUUUGGGUUCAAGGCCAUAUCUGGCAUCGGCAUCGUGGGGAGUGU
rnacentral:other from 1 species